UUGCUAAACCUACUACUGGAAGGUGGUAGGUUAGCAUUGUACCCAUCUUUUGAUUUCCUUAAAUGCCCUCACAUUUUUUUCCAACUCAUUAAAAACCAGGGACAUUAUUGUCAUUAUAUUAAAAAAGCAAUUCAUUCCUUCUACCCUUAUCUCAUAGCUUGAGUAUCAACUACUUCUAAUGCCCCAACCGAUGCCAUGGCCGUUUGGAUACUUCCAUUUUUAGCUUAAAUUUAUUUUCAUUUGGUGAUUAGAUUACGGUGUAAAUGCUUUUAAAUUUGAUUUUUUUUUUCCAGUUAGGUUUGAGUGUGGCGGAUGAAUGGAUAAGAAGAGUUUCAGAAUUCUUCUGUUCAAUUUGAGAUGAAAAGAUGCAAAUGUACGAAAUUCUCAUAAAUGAAAGUUAAGCUUUUUUCACUUGCACUUUUUUAACUAGUAGCAAAAACAAAAAUUUCCGAACACAAUUUAGUCUUUGAAUCUAAUCGAAAUGGGUCUUCGGUUAUAAUCAAUUACAAAUCACAAUUUGACUAGAAUAACUCUGAAUUCAAUUAGUUGAUUCGGUUCGAUGUGAAUUCUGUUUGAUUUUACAUGAACGAGAAAGAAGGGCGAGGAGAGGAUAAUGAGAAUGAUAGGGAGGAAAAUUGAGAAUAAUGAUAGAACAAGACCCAUUUCCCUCUGCCUGAAUUUUGAUUUUAUUUGUUGUUGCAUCUCAUAUGCACACAUGUAUAAACUAUAAAUGAUACAAAUAUGUUUCAAAUACAUAUGUGUUUAUGAAUUUGUGGGGGGUAAGACAGGAUUUUGAGGACGAAAUGGGCUAUUUGAAUGUUUAUUAUGGGAUGAAAUUGAUUAUUUAUUUGUUUUCUUUCAAGUGUGGAGAUCUUCUUUCUUUUGCACAUAACAUAUUUGAUGAAAGUCCUGUUCAGACUCUCAAAAGAAACCAACUUCUUCAUCGCUUCCAAUUUCUACUUUGCUUCAACUCUAGCCACACUAGAAAUAGAGUAAAUCAAUCAUCAAACAUUAAUCAACAAUUUAUGUUUCAAUGCCAUUUGAAAAUAGAGAAUAAAUCAACAGUCCACAGAUCAAACCAAGUUCAGUUAGUCGACGACGUUUGUAUUCUAUGUUUGCAACGGAAAUUCUAAUGCCACACAGAUUCCCAUUACUCCUAUCAAUCACGAUCUUUAUCAUACCAGUGUUCUGUUUUUAGAUGGUGGCUGUGAGGCGGUGAAGAAGGAGAGGCAACAAAGGGGCUGACAAUAAUGGCUUAAAAACUGUGGAGUUUUGUGGUCGUUGUUCAAUGGAGGAGGGACAACUGGGUUAUUUUGGUGAAGAUGAUGAAUAAGUGGCUGAAUUUCGAUGUUCAUUGUAGCAUAUGUGUGAGAAAAAGAAGAUCCGAAAUGGUGAAUUGUUCUCCAACAAAAAAAUUAAUGAAGAAUGCCUGAAAUUUUCACCCACAAGUGUGGUUGUUUUGGGCUCACAUAUGCUUAUGAGGAGGAUUUAUAGAAACAUCAAACUAUAAUGUCUCAAAUCUGCUUAUGAGGAGGAUUUAUAGGACCCUGCUAUCCAUUUGCUUAAUAACUGACAGUAACACCACAAAAAAAACUCAUGAACUAUGUAUCUUAGUGGGAAUUCAAUGGGUUUAUUUAUAGUAGCUACCUAUGCUUGGGUUCCGGAGAGCCUGCAAAUUUUCUCCCCAUUCUUUGGUCUGUAAAAAGAUCUCCUGUAGAUGAUCUCCAUUCUUCGAUAGUAACAUUAUUAAUAUAAUGUUGCUAACAAUCUCUCUCCAGUUCACUCUCUUUUAUUUAGUUUUUUUUUCAGUGUGUUUUUGGAUGGUAUAAAUUAGCUUUUAUCUGGAGGAAAGAAUAGUUGUAUGCUUCAUUAGAAUAUUUUUCCGAUUUCGUUUCUAUUAACAGUAAGGUUUGCAUCAUGCGAAAAGUGAGUUCUCUAGAUUUUUUUAACUCGAAAGGUGCUUAAGCACGCUCCUUUGCAAUACUGUUUUUUCUUUAUUUUCUAUUUUCUUACGAAAAUAUAAUAGUGUAUGAUUCAUUAGGAUAUUUUCCGAUUUCGUCUCUAUUAACAUUAAGGUCUGCAUCAUGCGAAAAGUGAGGUCUCUGGAUUUUUUGAAUUCUCAAUGUGCUUAAGCACUCUCCCUUGCAAUACUCUUUUUUCUGUAUUUUCUAUUUUCUUAUGAAAAUAUUACCAGUAAUGCACUUUGUUGCCUCCCUUCUCUCUUCAGAUCACCUCUUUUUGAAUUUGCCAUGUUUUCUUGACACCUCUUUUAUUGCUGCAUUAUAGGAUGCACUUUAGAUUUCACUAUGGGAAAAUUUCAAUUUUUUUCAUUCAGUAGUGUUAAAUUUGCAUUUUGUCAUUGUCCAAAUCUCUUGAAAAUGGAUGUAAAGGAGACCUUUAAUUAGUACUGACAAACUAAAGGUCCUAUCAAUAUAAUAUCAACAUUAAAUUCAUAAGUUCUUAAUGCUUGCUCAUUAUUUUCCUGCUUAUUGGUGGUGGUUUCUACUACUAAGUUACAAAAGAUUUAUUUUACCCAAACUCCUAAUAGUUGCUCUUCAAAAAGAACAUAUGAAUUGCCUUGCUAUACCUCUUUUCACCUUUUUUGUGUGUUAGAAUUGAGCUGAUCUUGAACCAGACAAAUGUUCUUCAUUAUCGAGCCAUUUGCAUGUUUAUUUCUUCUGUCAUAGAAAAUAUUUUCUCCUUCGUUGCUACCUGUGAUUCUUAUGUUGUAGAUAGUGAUUGGUUUCAUUUUCAUCUUAUGAUUGUGUUGCGUAUUCUUUGUAGGAUAAAAAAAACUAUUAUCCUCUUGUACUGAUAGGAUACAAAUAAGUACAGCAAGUAUCCGGAAGUGGAGUAUUCUGUUAAAGAAUCACUUUAACAACCUUUAAUUUAUUUUCACGUAUAAGAAGAGUAUUAAUAAUUGACUUAUAAAGAGAAAAUAAAUGAUCUCAGUCACUUAACAAAAGCUAAAAGAAUUCUUCAUCGGCCAUUAAACAUGGAUACGGUUGUUCGUUUCAACCUUCCUUUUUCAGUGUUAUCUUCUGAUGAAGAUAUAAUUUACUUGUGAUGAAUGAAAGAUCAUGUACUAAUUUUUUUUUAGUUUAACUGCUUAUUUGAUUUUUGUGAUAGCAUUUUGCAAUUGAUUAUAUUUUUACUUAGAUGUGCAAAUAUCGUUGUACACCAAAAUAAAAUUUUCCAAUUUUUACGCCAAAAUUAUCGACUUCCCUGUUAAAUUGAUUAUGUCUUUGACUUACAUAUGUGCAUAUGGGGAACG